GAGCAUCAAUAUAUACAUAAUCUCUUUUAUAGUACUAUGAAUUAUAAAAAGUUCAACUAAAUAGAGAUGGCUGCUUGUGUAUGACUUCAAACAUUUGCAGUGGCGUCAUGAGUUUUGUAGUGGACAUAGAAGUUUAUGAGUAAUAAUAUUUGUUACCCUAAAUCUUGAAUUUUGUUGGGGACGUGAUUUUCAAGUUUUAUCUCUCAACUAACGU
rnacentral:lncRNA from 1 species